CCUACGGGGGGCUGCAGUGGGGAAUAUUGCACAAUGGGGGAAACCCUGAUGCAGCGACGCCGCGUGCGCGAUGCAGUAUUUUGGUAUGUAAAGCUCUAUCAGCAGGGAAGAAAAUGACGGUACCUGACUAAGAAGCCCCGGCUAACUACGUGCCAGCAGCCGCGGUAAUACGUAGGGGGCAAGCGUUAUCCGGAUUUACUGGGUGUAAAGGGAGCGUAGACGGCGGUGCAAGCCAGAUGUGAAAGCCCGGGGCUCAACCCCGGGACUGCAUUUGGAACUGUGCUGCUAGAGUGUCGGAGAGGCAGGCGGAAGUUCUAGUGUAGCGGUGAAAGGCGGAGAUAUUAGGAGGAACACCAGUGGCGAAGGCGGCCUGCUGGACGAUGACUGACGUUGAGGCUCGAAAGCGUGGGGAGCAAACAGGAUUAGAUACCCCAGUAGUC
rnacentral:rRNA from 1 species